rnacentral:lncRNA from 8 species
UCAGUGCUCUCUGCACAUAGCCUCCAUCUUUCAGUAGGUGGUGUGAGUGAGUGUAGGGUAGAAGGGGGGGUGGGUUUUCAGGGCCCUCAUUGGCUGAAAUAUUUUCACUGGCAACUAGAAAACGUGAUCCAGCCUGCAGAGGCACUGCAGCGGAGACUGCAGAGAGAGAGAGAGAGAGAGGCAGGGAGGGAGAGAGAGCAAGAUAAGAGAGAGAGCAAGGAGAGAGAGAGCAAGAGAGGGGGAGGAGAAAACAUGCAAUAGAAAUUGUCAGGUCCAGAGACAGAGAUCGAGAGAGAGAGAGAGAGAGAAAGAGAGGGAGAGAGAGAGAGCCACAUACAUGUGGUAAGGGAGACAGAAACAGAGAACAAGCGUGUGUGUGUAUGCGUGAGCCAGUGUGUGAGUGUGUGCACAGAGGCGCAUUGACAGCAGCAGAGAAGGAGCAAGGCUAACAAACGGCAGGCGUGAGCGAAAAGGAGCACAGAGACGCCACUGGGGGAGAGAUAACGAGUGAGUGGAAGAAAAGAAGAGAGGAUGAAAGAAAGACAGCAGCAGAGAGAAAGAGACAGGAGGAGGGAUGGAGAGGGAGCUGCUAGAAACCGCCGCUCGGCCACACCGCAGACGACAGGGCGAGAGGGAGAGAGUUUGAAGGACGAAGGGAACCGACAGAGGAGAAGAAGAGGUGGGCUCCACCACCAGUCUCUGUCCUCCAUCACUGUGACUAAAGGAAGGAGUGACGCAUCCAUCCUUCGACAGCUCAGCCUCCAUCUUACCUUCCCUUCCUCCCUCCACCUCCAUCGUUUGUUUUCUCAGGGUCUCACAGACAGGAAUGAUCACCUUGCCUCCGUCGCUCCUCUCCUCCUCCUCCUUUUCCUCCUCCUCUUCCUCCUCCUCCUCCUCCUCUGCCCCUCUGGCAAAACACCUUCUGUUCUACUCUCAGACGAACUGAGACCAAUGGACCAUGUUAUCAGCUUCACACGCACAUGGAAGCUUUACCCUGUAACAAGACUAUUGUCACCUCACAGCUCAGUAAUAUCCAAAACCAACAACAACAACAACAACAACACACAGCAAGGUGGUAAGAGAACUGGGAGACGAUAUGUUACGACAGGACUAAACAACAACACAGGUAAAAGGCUUGAUCAAGGAUGCAUCAAUGUGUCCGUGUACACUGAAAGAGGGCUCUGUGGAAUAUUUAUGUCUGUGCAUGUGCGUUCCAUAUUGUGUGUGUGCCAAUGUAUGUGCUGGUGUGUGUGUGUGUCUGUGUGUGUUUGUCCAGAUGUCGGAUCUUGCCUUGAUCACUCUUUUGUCGCUGAGAAUUUUCCUGCUGCAUCAGGAAAUUAG